GAUGAACGCUGGCGGCGUGCCUAAUACAUGCAAGUCGAACGCUGCAGGCGGAGCUUGCUCUUCUGGAUGAGUUGCGACCGGGUGAGUAACGCGUAGGUAACCUGCCUGGUAGCGGGGGAUAACUAUUGGAAACGAUAGCUAAUACCGCAUGACAACAGUUAUUGCAUGAUAACUGUUUAAAAGGGGCAACUGCUCCACUACCAGAUGGACCUGCGUUGUAUUAGCUAGUUGGUGAGGUAACGGCUCACGAAGGCGACGAUACAUAGCCGACCUGCGAGGGUGAGCUGCCACGCUGGUACGGGAGGACGGCCAGGACUCCUGCGGGAGGGAGCAGGAGGGAAUCCUCAGCAAAGGACGGAGGUCUGAACCAGCAACGCCGGGUGAGUGAAGGAGGUUGUCGGGUCGUAAGGAUCUGGUAUGAGUGAGGAUCGUGAGUGUGAGUGGAAAGUGCACAUUGUGACGGUACCUUAACAGAAAGCGACGGCUAACUACGUG
rnacentral:rRNA from 1 species